rnacentral:rRNA from 1 species
CGCAGGCGGUUUGUUAAGUCAGAUGUGAAAUCCCCGGGCUCAACCUGGGAACUGCAUCUGAUACUGGCAAGCUUGAGUCUCGUAGAGGGGGGUAGAAUUCCAGGUGUAGCGGUGAAAUGCGUAGAGAUCUGGAGGAAUACCGGUGGCGAAGGCGGCCCCCUGGACGAAGACUGACGCUCAGGUGCGAAAGCGUGGGGAGCAAACAGGAUUAGAUACCCUGGUAGUCCACGCCGUAAACGAUGUCGACUUGGAGGUUGUGCCCUUGAGGCGUGGCUUCCGGAGCUAACGCGUUAAGUCGACCGCCUGGGGAGUACGGCCGCAAGGUUAAAACUCAAAUGAAUUGACGGGGGCCCGCACAAGCGGUGGAGCAUGUGGUUUAAUUCGAUGCAACGCGAAGAACCUUACCUGGUCUUGACAUCCACGGAAGUUUUCAGAGAUGAGAAUGUGCCUUCGGGAACCGUGAGACAGGUGCUGCAUGGCUGUCGUCAGCUCGUGUUGUGAAAUGUUGGGUUAAGUCCCGCAA